AAAUAUGCCCUAGAGGCAAUAAUAAAGUUAUUAUUUAUUUCCUCAUAUCAUGAUAAAUGUUUAUUAUUCAUGCUAGAAUUGUAUUAACCAGAAACAUAAUACAUGUGUGAAUAUAUAGACAAACAGAGUGUCACUAGUAUGCCUCUACUUGACUAGCUUGUUAAUCAAAGAUGGUUAUGUUUCCUAACCAUGAACAAGGAGUUGUUAUUUGAUUAACAAGGUCACAUCAUUAGUUGAAUGAUCUGAUUGACAUGACCCAUUCCGUUAGCUUAGCACACGAUCGUUUAGUAUGUUGCUAUUGCUUCCUUCAUGACUUAUACAUGUUCCUAUGACUAUGAGAUUAUGCAACUCCCGUUUACCGGAGGAACACUUUGUGUGCUACCAAACGUCACAACGUAACUGGGUGAUUAUAAAGGUGCUCUACAGGUGUCUCCAAAGGUACUUGUUGAGUUGGCAUAUUUCAAGAUUAGGAUUUGUCACUCCGAAUGUCGGAGAGGUAUCUCUGGGCCCUCUCGGUAAUACACAUCACUUAAGCCUUGCAAGCAUUUCAACUAAUGAGUUAGUUGUGAGAUGAUGUAUUACGGAACGAGUAAAGAGACUUGCCGGCAACGAGAUUGAACUAGGUAUUGGAUACCGACGAUCGAAUCUUGGGCAAGUAACAUACCGAUGACAAAGGGAACAACGUAUGUUGUUGUGCGGUUUGACCGAUAAAGAUCUUCGUAGAAUAUGUAGGAACCAAUAUGGGCAUCCAGGUCCCGCUAUUGGUUAUUGACCGGAUGCAUGUCUCGGUCAUGUCUACAUUGUUCUCGAACCGUAGGGUCCGCACGCUUAAGGUUUCGAUGACAGUUAUAUUAUGAGUUUAUGUAUUUUGAUGUACCGAAGGUUGUUUGGAGUCCCGGAUAUGAUCACGGACAUGACGAGGAGUCUCGAAAUGGUCGAGACAUAAAGAUUGAUAUAUUGGACGGAUAUAUUUGGACACCGGAAAGGUUCCGGAGAAGUUUGGAGCUCCUGGAGAUUACCGGAACCCCCCGGGAGGUAUAUGGGCCUUAUUGGGCCCAUGUAGGAGGAAGAGAGAAGGAGCAAGGGAGGGGGGCGCGGCCCCCCAAGCCCAAUCCGAAUUGGGGAGGGGGGCCGGCCCCCCCUUUCCUUUCUCCUUCCCCCUCUCUUCCUUCCUACUACUAGUACUACUUCCUAAUACUAGUACUCCUUCCUUCCCCCUCCAAAUAAGAUAAGGAAAAGAGAGGGAAACCUACUUGGAGUAGGUUUCCCCCUCCCUAUGGCGCGCCCCCCUUGAGGCCGGCCACCUCCUCCCUCCCUCCUUUAUAUACGGGGGUAGGGGGGCACCCUAGGACACACAAGUUGAUCAUUGAUCGUUCCUUAGCCGUGUGCGGUGCCCCCUUCACGAUAUUACACCUCGAUCAUAUUGUAGCGGUGCUUAGGCGAAGCCCUGCGACAGGAGAACAUCAAGAUCGUCACCACGCCGUCGUGCUGACGGAACUCCCCCUCGGAGCCUCUACUGGAUUGGAGAUCGAGGGUGCAUCAUCGAGCUGUACGUGUGUCAAGAACUCGGAGGUGCCGGAGUAACGGUGCUUGGGUCGGUUGGACCGGGAAGACGUACGACUACUUCCUCUAUGUUGCGUCAACGCUUCCGCUUCGGUCUAGGAGGGUACGUAGACAACACUCUCCCCUCUCGUUGCUAUAUCAUCACCAUGAUCUUGCGUGUGCAUAGGAAAUUUUUUGAAAUUACUACGUUCCCCAACAGUGGCAUCCGAGCCUAGGUUUUUAUGGUUUGAUGUUAUAUGCACGAGUAGAACACAAGUGAGUUGUGGGCGAUAUAAGUCAUACUGCUUACCAGCAUGUCAUACUUUGGUUCGGCGGCAUUGUUGGAUGAAGCGGCCCAGACCGACAUUACGCGUACGCUUACGCGAGACUGGUUUUACCGCCGUACUUUGCACACAGGUGACUAGCGGGUGUCAUUUUCUCCAACUUUAGUUGAACCGAGUGUGGCUACGCCCGGUCCUUGCGAAGGUUAAAACAACAUCAACUUGACAAACUAUCGUUGUGGUUUUGAUGCGUAGGUGAGAUUGGUUCUUGCUUAAGCCCGUAGCAGCCACGUAAAACUUGCAACAACAAAGUAGAGGACGUCUAACUUGUUUUUGCAGGGCAUGUUGUGAUGUGAUAUGGCCAAGACAUGAUGCUAUAUUUUAUUGUAUGAGAUGAUCAUGUUUUGUAACCGAAGUUAUCGGCAACAGGCAGGAGCCAUAUGGUUGUCGCUUUAUUGUAUGAAAUGCAAACGCCCUGUAAUUGCUUUACUUUAUCACUAAGCGGUAGCGAUAGUCGUAGAAGCAAUAGAUGGCGUAAACGACAAUGAUGCUACGAUGGAGAUCAAGGUGUCGCGCCGGUGACGGUGGUGAUCAUGAUGGUGCUUCGGAGAUGGAGAUCACAAGCACAAGAAGAUGAUGGCCAUAUCAUAUCACUUAUAUUGAUUGCAUAUGAUGUUUAUCUAUUAUACAUCUUAUUCUUGCUUUGAUUGACGGUAGCAUUUUAAGAUGAUCUCUCACUAAUUAUCAAGAAGUGUUCUCCCUGAGUAUGCACCGUUGCCAAAGUUCGUCGUGCCCAGACACCACGUGAUGAUCGGGUGUGAUAUGCUCUACGUCCAUCUACAACGGGUGCAAGCCAGUUUUGCACACGCGGAAUACUCAGGUUAAACUUGAGAGCCUAGCAUAUGCAGAUAUGGCCUCGGAACACGGAGACCGAAAGGUCGAGCGUGAAUCAUAUAGUAGAUAUGAUCAACAUAAGAUGUUCACCAUUGAAAACUACUCCAUCUCACGUGAUGAUCGGUUAUGGUUUAGUUGAUUUGGAUCACGUGAUCACUUAGAUGACUAGAGAGAUGUCUGUCUAAGUGGGAGUUCUUAAGUAAUAUGAUUAAUUGAACUUAAAUUUAUCAUGAACUUAGUCCUGAUAGUAUUUUGCAAAUUAUGUUCUCGAUCAAUAGCUCACGUUGUUGCUUUCAUAUGUUUAUUUUCAUAUGUUCCUAGAGAAAAUUGUGUUGAAAAAUGUUAGUAGCAAUGAUGCGGAUUGGAUCCGCGAUCUGAGGUUUAUCCUCAAUGCUGCACAGAAGAAUUAUGUCCUUAAUGCACCGCUAGGUGACAGACCUAUUGCAGGAGCAGAUGCAGACGUUAUGAACGUUUGGCUGGCUCAAUAUGAUGACUACUUGAUAGUUUUGUGCACCAUGCUUUAUGGCUUAGAAUCGGGACUUCAAAGAUGUUUUGAACAUCAUGGACCAUAUGAGAUGUUCCAGGAAUUGAAGUUAAUAUUUCAAGCAAAUACCCGAGUUGAGAGAUAUGAAAUCUUCAACAAGUUCUAUAGCUAAAAGAUGGAGGAGAAUCGCUCAACUAGUGAGCAUGUGGUCAGAUUGUCUGGGUACUUCAAUCGCUUGAAUCAAGUGGGAGUUAAUCUUCCAGAUAAGAUAGUGAUUGACAGAAUUCUCUAGUCACCAUCACCAAGUUAGUAGAACUUCGUGAUGAACUAUAGUAUGCAAGGGAUGAUGAAAAUGAUUCCCGAGUUUUUUCAUGAUGAUGAAAUCGAUGAAGGUAGAAAUCAAGAAAGAACAUCAAGUGUUGAUGGUUAACAAGACCACUAGUUUCAAGAAAAGGGCAAAGGGAUAGAAGGGAACUUCAAGAAGAACGGCAAGCAAGUUGCUGCUCAAGUGAAGAAGCCCAAGUCUGGACCUAAGCCUGAGACUAAGUGCUUCUACUGCAAAGGGACUGGUCACUAGAAGCAGAACUACCCCAAGUAUUUGGCGGAUAAGAAGGAUGGCAAAGUGAACAAAGGUAUAUUUGAUAUACAUGUUAUUGAUGUGUACUUUACUAGUGUUUAUAGCAACCCCUCGGUAUUUGGUACUGGUUCAGUUGCUAAGAGUAGUAACUCGAAACGGGAGUUGCAGAAUAAACAGAAACUAGUUAAGGGUGAAGUGACGAUGUGUGUUGAAAGUAGUUUCAAGAUUGAUAUGAUCAUCAUCGCACACUCUCUAUACUUUCGGGAUUAGUGUUGAACCUAAAUAAAUGUUAUUUGGUGUUUGCGUUGAGCAUGAAUAUGAUUUGAUCAUGUUUAUUGCAAUACGGUUAUUCAUUUAAGUAAGAGAAUAAACUGUUGUUCUGUUUACAUGAAUAAAACCUUAUAUGGUUACACACGCAAUGGAAAAGGUUCAUUGGAUCUCGAUCGUAGUGAUACACAUAUUCAUAAUAUCGAAAUCAAAAGAUGCGAAGUUAAUAAUGAUAGUGCAACUUAUUUGUGGCACUGCCGUUUAGGUCAUAUUGGUGUAAAGCGCAUGAAGAAACUCCAUGCUGAUGGGAUUUUGGAAUCACUUGAUUAUGAAUCACUUGAUGCUUGAGAACCAUGCCUCAUGGGCAAGAUGACUAAAACUCUGUUCUCCGGAACAGUGGAGCGAGCAACUGACUUAUUGGAAAUAAUACAUACUGAUGUAUGCGAUCCAAUGAGUGUUAAGGCUCGCGACGGGUAUCGUUAUUUUCUGACCUUCACAGAUGAUUUGAGCAGAUAUGGGUAUAUCUACUUGAUGAAACAUAAGUCUGAAAUAGUUGAAAGGUUCAAAGAAUUUCAGAGUGAAGUGGAAAAAUCAUCGUGACAAGAAAAUAAGGUUUCUACGAUCUGAUCGCGGAGACAAAUAUUUGAGUUACGAGUUUGGUCUUCAAAUAAAACAAUGUGGAAUAAUUUCACAAAUUCAUGCCACCUGGAACACCACAUCAUAAUGGUGUUUCCGAACGUCAUAUAACCGUACUUUAUUGGAUAUAGUACAAUCUAUGAUGUUUCUUACCGAUUUAUCAAUAUUGUUUUGGGGUUAUGCAUUAGAGACAGCUGCAUUCACGUUAAAAGGGCACCAUCUAAAUCCGCUGAGAUGACAACAUAUGAACUGUGGUUUAGCAAGAAACCCAAGUUGUCGUUUCUUAAAGUUUGGGGCUGCGAUGCUUAUGUGAAAAAGUUUCAUCCUGAUAAGCUCGAACCCAAAUCGGAGAAGUGCGUCUUCAUAGAAUACCCAAAGGAAAUUGUUGGGUACACCAUCUAUCACAGAUCCGAAGGCAAGAUAUUCGUUGCUAAAAAAAAUGGAUCCCUUCUAGAGAAGGAGUUUCUCUCGAAAGAAGUGAGUGGGAGGAAAGUAGAACUUGAUAAGGUAAUUGUACCUUCUCCCUUAUUGGAAAGUAGUUCAUCACAGAAAUCUGUUCCUGUGACUAAUACACCAAUUAGUGAGGAAGCUAAUGAUGAUGAUCAUGUAACUUCAGAUCAAGUUACUACCGAAUCUCGUAGGUAAACCAGAGUGAGAUCCGCACCAGAGUGGUACGGUAAUCCUGUUCUGGAAGUCAUGUAACUAGACCAUGAUGAACCUACGAACUAUGAGGAAGCGAUGAUGAGCCCAUAUUCCGCGAAAUGGCUUGAGGCCAUGAAAUCUGAGAUGAGAUCCAUGUAUGAGAACAAAGUGUGGACUUUGGUGGAGUUGCCCGAUGAUCGGCAAGCCAUAGAAAAUAAAUGGAUCUUCAAGAGGAAGACGGACGCUGAUAGUAGUGUUACUAUCUACAAAGCUAGACUUGUCGAAAAAGGUUUUUGACAAAGUUCAAGAUGUUGAAUACAAUGAGAUUUUCUCACUCGUAUCGAUGCUUAAAAGUCUGUCCGAAUCAUGUUAGCAAUUGCCGCAUUUUAUGAAAUCUGGCAAAUGGAUAAACAAAACUGCAUUCCUUAAUGGAGUUAUUAAAGAACAGUUGUAUGUGAUGCAACCAAGAGGUUUUGUCGAUCCUAAAGGUGUUAACAAAAUGUGCAUCUAUGGACUGGUGCAAGCCUCUCGGAGUUAGAAUAAACGUUUUGAUAGUGUGAUCAAAGCAUUUGGUUUUAUACAGACUUUUGGAGAAGCCUGUAUUUACUAGAAAGUGAGUGGGAGCACUACAGCAUUUCUGAUAAGUAUAUGUGAAUGACAUAUUGUAGAUCGGAAAUAAUGUAGAAUUAUUCUGCAAAGCAUAAAGGAGUGUUUAAAAGGAGUUUUUCAAAGAAAGACCUCCGUGAAGCUACUUACAUAUUGAGCAUCAAGAUCUAUAGAGAUAGAUCAAGACGCUUGAUAAGUUUUUUCAAUGAGUACAUACCUUGACAAGAUUUUGAAGUAGUUCAAAAUGGAACAUUCAAAGAAAGAGUUCUUGCCUGUGUUACAAGGUGUGAAAUUGAGUAAGACUCAAAACCCGACCACGGCAGAAGAUAGAAAGAGAAUGAAAAUCAUUCCCUAUGCCUUGGCCAUAGGUUCUAUAAAGUAUGUCAUGCUGUGUACCAGAUCUAUUGUAUACCCUACACUGAGUUUGGCAAGGGAGUACAAUAGUGAUCUAGGAGUAGAUCACUAGACAACGGUCAAAAUUAUCCUUAGUGGAAUAAGGAUAUGUUUCUCGAUUAUGGAAGUGACAAAAGGUUCGUCGUAAAGGGUUACGUCGAUGCAAGUUUUGACACCGAUCUGGAUGACUCUAAGUCUCGAUCUAGAUACAUAUUGAAAGUGGGAGCAAUUAGCUAGAGUAGCUCCGUGCAAUUGUAGACAUAGAAUAUUUGCAAAAUACAUACGGCUCUGAAUGUGACAGACCCGUUGACUAAGAUUUUCUCACAAGCAAAACAUGAUCACACCUUAGUACUCUUUGGGUGUUAAUCACAUAGCGAUGUGAACUAGAUUACUGAAUCUAGUAAACCCUUUGGGUGUUGGUUACAUGGCGAUGUGAACUAUGGGUGUUAAUCGCAUGAUGAUGUGAACUAUCGAUGUUAAUCACAUUGUGAUGUGAUCUAGAUUAUUGACUCUAGUGCAAGUGGGAGACUGAAGGAAAUAUGCCCUAGAGGCAAUAAUAAAGUUAUUAUUUAUUUCCUCAUAUCAUGAUAAAUGUUUAUUAUUCAUGCUAGAAUUGUAUUAACCGGAAACAUAAUACAUGUGUGAAUAUAUAGACAAACAGAGUGUCACUAGUAUGCCUCUACUUGACUAGCUUGUUAAUCAAAGAUGGUUAUGUUUCCUAACCAUGAACAAGGAGUUGUUAUUUGAUUAACAAGGUCACAUCAUUAGUUGAAUGAUCUGAUUGACAUGACCCAUUCCGUUAGCUUAGCACACGAUCGUUUAGUAUGCUGCUAUUGCUUCCUUCAUGACUUAUACAUGUACCUAUGACUAUGAGAUUAUGCAACUCCCGUUUACCGGAGGAACACUUUGUGUGCUACCAAACGUCACAACGUAACUGGGUGAUUAUAAAGGUGCUCUACAGGUGUCUCCGAAGGUACUUGUUGAGUUGGCGUAUUUCGAGAUUAGGAUUUGUCACUCCGAAUGUCGGAGAGGUAUCUCUGGGCCCUCUCGGUAAUACACAUCACUUAAGCCUUGCAAGCAUUUCAACUAAUG
rnacentral:lncRNA from 1 species